UGGGGAAUAUUGCACAAUGGGCGGAAGCCUGAUGCAGCAACGCCGAGUGCGGGAUGACGGCCUUCGGGUUGUAAACCGCUUUCGCCUGUGACGAAGCGUGAGUGACGGUAAUGGGUAAAGAAGCACCGGCUAACUACGUGCCAGCAGCCGCGGUGAUACGUAGGGUGCGAGCGUUGUCCGGAUUUAUUGGGCGUAAAGGGCUCGUAGGUGGUUGAUCGCGUCGGAAGUGUAAUCUUGGGGCUUAACCCUGAGCGUGCUUUCGAUACGGGUUGACUUGAGGAAGGUAGGGGAGAAUGGAAUUCCUGGUGGAGCGGUGGAAUGCGCAGAUAUCAGGAGGAACACCAGUGGCGAAGGCGGUUCUCUGGGCCUUUCCUGACGCUGAGGAGCGAAAGCGUGGGGAGCGAACA
rnacentral:rRNA from 1 species